AUUAUUUAUCAGCCUUUUGGCUAAAAUGUAGUGUAGUAUGUAUUCUUAUCAGUUAAAUAUCUGAUACAUCCUCUAUGUAAAGACAAUAUAGUAAAUGGAUUUUUGGAGCAAAGACAUGAAUGGGAACUUAAUCCAUUCACUCCACGCAGAGACUGGUAUUGCAGUACCUCCAGGAAUGAUGCACCUCCU
rfam:Tupaia chinensis contig236720, whole genome shotgun sequence.